AUUGAACGCUGGCGGCAUGCCUUACACAUGCAAGUCGAACGGCAGCACGGGAGCUUGCUCCUGGUGGCGAGUGGCGAACGGGUGAGUAAUACAUCGGAACGUACCCUGAAGUGGGGGAUAACGUAGCGAAAGUUACGCUAAUACCGCAUAUUCUGUGAGCAGGAAAGAGGGGGAUCGCAAGACCUCUUGCUUUAGGAGCGGCCGAUGUCGGAUUAGCUAGUUGGUGAGGUAAAGGCUCACCAAGGCGACGAUCCGUAGCGGGUCUGAGAGGAUGAUCCGCCACACUGGGACUGAGACACGGCCCAGACUCCUACGGGAGGCAGCAGUGGGGAAUUUUGGACAAUGGGCGCAAGCCUGAUCAGCCAUGCCGCGUGAGUGAAGAAGCCUUCGGUGUAAGACUCUUCGUGGGAGAAUA
rnacentral:rRNA from 1 species